rnacentral:rRNA from 1 species
UACAGAGGGUGCGAGCGUUAAUCGGAUUUACUGGGCGUAAAGCGCGCGUAGGUGGUUUGUUAAGUCAGUUGUGAAAUCCCCGGGCUCAACCUGGGAACUGCAAUUGAAACUGGCAAGCUAGAGUGUGGUAGAGGGUAGUGGAAUUCCCGGUGUAGCGGUGAAAUGCGUAGAUAUCGGGAAGAACACCAGUGGCGAAGGCGGCUAACUGGACCAACACUGACACUGAGGCACGAAAGCGUGGGGAGCAAACAGG